rnacentral:lncRNA from 7 species
UUUCCAACAGCUUCAACAGUAAGUGACCUUGGAGAACCCUUGGAGAACCCCCAGCCAGCAGUGCCAGACCUUGGAUCAGGCCCAUGAGAAUGCAAUGCUGUGGAAAAUGAAUCACCUCCAUUUCUCCAGCAAGCUUCUUAACCUCCAAAUUCAGAAGUACAGCAAAGCUGACGACUGCACUGAGUAUUUGUUAAAGGCCAGCAGAAAGGAUCCCUGAGGAACAUCAUCUUCACAUGAAAUACGAAACAUCCGUUUUGUUAAGGUUAGAAGAUAAGGCAUAAUUAAAGAAACAGAAGGCUUGCGUGUUCUGACAAGGAGUGGCAGAAAUACUGAACCCUUCUUCUCUAACAGCAAUAGGAGGCUAAAAGAUGGAGAACAGAACUUUCCUUCUUUGAAAGAAUGCCAAAAGCUUUCCUAUUUAUGUCCAGCAUGAUCAGGCAUUAUUAUUAAUACAUCAUGACUACCUUGAGGCUCAUCUUAAACUGUACAAGGCAGUGCCCUGCAGAAGCAGUUCAGAAAUAGAAAUGAGAAGUGAAGAGCAUGACUAGCAGUACUUUGUGCAAGGAACACACAGCCUGACCUUCAGGACUGGCUUUACAGUGAGCCCUGACCCUACCAACAGAAGCUCAGCCAGCCUUGAACAUGCCCAGAAGCGUACCUGGGCUCACUUCUGGCAGAGCAUCAGUGGAGUCAGCUCCAUGAGCUGGCUCACAGCAUCUCUGCCUGUGACAGCAUGGGAGCAGGAGGAAGAUGGUGCUGUGCAUAGAUCCAGUGUUCCACUUUCUUGGAGAAGAGUUUUGAGAAGUGACAAUGCAUUUGCCCGCCUUGCUCCAGACUCUCCAGGUAGGAUGUGCUCACAAAAGAAUGAGUAUACCGUAGCAAUCCUAGGAAGUUAGGAAAGCAUCAACUCCAGACAUUGUUGGCCUGGAUUCUUUCUCCUGGCUGUUUUAUCCAUACCUGUUACUAUCUUCUCUGUCAAGGAAAAUGAAGGCAAUAUCACCUUCAGGCUGUAUGCAGCACAGUGGCAAUGAGAAAAUGCGAAGACAAUUGCUAACGUAAUUUGGCGAUCCCUGGAGAUCUGUGGAUUCAGCAUGCCUACUUCUGGACACACAGACCCUCAAAUCAACUCCAGAAGAGUGGGGCAUAGCUUAGAAGUACCCAGGUUCCAGCAGGAUUUUCAAUGAACCACAAGGUGGAAGCAGAAAAGCCUGAGAGGAUGGCAGCUGUCAGGACGAGAAAUGAGGCAACUGAACAGGGUGCUCAGUUGCAAAAAAGACAACAGCAGGAAAAAGGGGGCAUAUGUUUAAAAUACUGCCGUGGAGCUAAAGAUCGGAGUUGUAAGGAAAAGCAGGGAAAAUAACAAAAAGCUCAUCAACACCCACCUGCCAAGAGUGUCAAUAAAAAUGAUAGGAGCAAAGGCAAAGGAUUUUUUUUUUCUCUGCAGCAAGAAGCACAGAUGGGCAAAAGUAUAAAACAAAAGCCUGUAUGAGGUUUUCGUCUGUGCUGCAGUUCUCAAGAAUGAGUACACAAGAAAAAUGUUUAUGUGAAUUACGUUAAAUGUGAGCAAACUCUGGAUUGGUAUUCAUGUAUAUUCUUAUCAUAAAGACAUCUUAAAGAUUUUUAAAUCCUGUUUGGUUGGUUCUGAUGGAGUAGUAAUGUAUAUGGUGAGUUGUAUUCGUGUAAAAUAGGAAUGGAAGUAUGAAGAAUGCUGAAGAGAUUUAUUUUAAACAUAUUUAUACUUGCCACAACUCCAUUAAAGGAGCUGGGUAAAACCAUGUCUAAGAUAUGCUUGUAGCAAGUUGGAUAAUUAAAAGGUAUUGCCAGUCACUAUCAUUUUGCUAGAAGGCAUUCACGUUUGCAAUAUACAAAUUUGUACUACUGUCACUGUUGUAAUCCCAUUUGUGCAAAUAUUCAAUAAAUAAGACACAAACUUUCUUCC